UCCCCAAGGCAGGGGUCAAAGAGACACCUCGUUGUUGGUGGUGUUCUUUUAUCAGUCAGAGGAGACAGCAAUCUUUUGUUCAUUCUGAGUUGAUGCCUGGUUUGGUGGCCAAAGCUGUCUUAUGCUUAGGACUCAUAA